UAAAUUUUAUAAAGAAAUGAGCUACAAGUAGAACGUCAUAAUCAACUCAAUUUCUCCAAAGAAAAAGGUAGCCUAGACUAUCUGUACUUCUUACCCUGGCGCAUCAACAUUGGUCUUCUCCAAAAAAAAUCUUGACUAUGUAUUUGCUUGUAGGGGUACAUCGUCAUUGGCCUUCCCCGGCGGCUGCGGCUUAUAAAACCACAUGUCCGGCAACCAACUUUUUUGCUCUCGUGUGGCGGCGAAGGACUUCUGAGAAGGAUUGCAUAUAGUUACCAAGAGGAUUUGUAAGAGUAGCGACGAAACAAUUACCCACCAUCAAGAUAAAAACUACCUCUUGUGACGUUAGUUUCUACUUUGUAUGGGCACAUGAUGCCCUAUUAGGUUAAACGGCGGAGGCAUGUUGCCAGCGCUUGGACUGCUCAUUCAUGUAGUGGAAAACAUGGAAACAGGCGCAAUUAAAACCGAUCAGUGUGAGUAUCAUGUUGCUAGAUGCAAGUAGUCGAUUGAUUCGAUUGAUCCAUCAAGUCUGGUAGCUUUCCUGUGUGGAUUCUGCUGGCGAUGGAAGAAAUACAUCAUCAGAAAGCAUCGAAUUGAAAACAAAAUACCAAAUGACAUACUACUACUGAGGAAAGGAAAUGAUCCAAGAAAAGCAUUUUUGGAAGGCAUCUACUAAUAUGAAUACUUACAAUGAACUAAUAUGACAAAAUAGUUGGAUUAAGACAGAGCCAGAGAGCGCGCUUGUCUACCUUACAUGUCCAGUAAUCUACGAACACCGAUCUUACUCUGUCGGCACCUCCUGUAUAUUUGUGGUCCCAUUUUCAGAUAAUUAACACGCACAAAAACUCUUAUUAUUGAAACAUUAACAAAGCAAAAUAUAUAUAUGAAUCAACAAAUGUAUUUUUCCACCUAAUUGAUCGACCAUGCAUUAGAUUAUUGACCACACCAGGACAGUAC
rnacentral:lncRNA from 1 species